rnacentral:rRNA from 1 species
GAUGAACGCUGACAGAAUGCUUAACACAUGCAAGUCUACUUGAACUUCGGUUUGGGUGGCGGACGGGUGAGCAACGCGUAAAGAACUUGCCUCACAGUUAGGGACAACAUUUGGAAACGAAUGCUAAUACCUGAUAUUAUGAUUUUAGGGCAUCCUAAGAUUAUGAAAGCUAUAUGCGCUGUGAGAGAGCUUUGCGUCCCAUUAGCUAGUUGGAGAGGUAACGGCUCACCAAGGCGAUGAUGGGUAGCCGGCCUGAGAGGGUGAACGGCCACAAGGGGACUGAGACACGGCCCUUACUCCUACGGGAGGCAGCAGUGGGGAAUAUUGGACAAUGGACCAAAAGUCUGAUCCAGCAAUUCUGUGUGCACGAUGACGUUUUUCGGAAUGUAAAGUGCUUUCAGUUGGGAAGAAAAAAAUGACGGUACCAACAGAAGAA